rnacentral:rRNA from 1 species
UAGGGAAUCUUCCACAAUGGACGCAAGUCUGAUGGAGCAACGCCGCGUGAGUGAAGAAGGUCUUCGGAUCGUAAAGCUCUGUUGUUGGUGAAGAAGGAUAGAGGCAGUAACUGGUCUUUAUUUGACGGUAAUCAACCAGAAAGUCACGGCUAACUACGUGCCAGCAGCCGCGGUAAUACGUAGGUGGCAAGCGUUGUCCGGAUUUAUUGGGCGUAAAGCGAGCGCAGGCGGAAUGAUAAGUCUGAUGUGAAAGCCCACGGCUCAACCGUGGAACUGCAUCGGAAACUGUCAUUCUUGAGUGCAGAAGAGGAGAGUGGAACUCCAUGUGUAGCGGUGGAAUGCGUAGAUAUAUGGAAGAACACCAGUGGCGAAGGCGGCUCUCUGGUCUGCAACUGACGCUGAGGCUCGAAAGCAUGGGUAGCGAACAGGAUUAGAUACCCUGGUAGUCCAUGCCGUAAACGAUGAGCGCUAGGUGUUGGCACUUUCCGGUGCC